rnacentral:rRNA from 1 species
GACGAACGCUGGCGGCGUGCCUAAUACAUGCAAGUUGAGCGAUGAAGAUUGGUGCUUGCCCCAAUUUGAAGAGCAGCGAACGGGUGAGUAACGCGUGGGGAAUCUGCCUUUGAGCGGGGGACAACAUUUGGAAACGAAUGCUAAUACCGCAUAACAACUUUAAACAUAAGUUUUAAGUUUGAAAGAUGCAAUUGCAUCACUCAAAGAUGAUCCCGCGUUGUAUUAGCUAGUUGGAGAGGUAAAGGCUCACCAAGGCGAUGAUACAUAGCCGACCUGAGAGGGUGAUCGGCCACAUUGGGACUGAGACACGGCCCAAACUCCUACGGGAGGCAGCAGUAGGGAAUCUUCGGCAAUGGACGAAAGUCUGACCGAGCAACGCCGCGUGAGUGAAGAAGGGUUUCGGAUCGUAAAACUCUGUUGGUAGAGAAGAACGUUGGUGAGAGUGGAAAGCUCAUCAAGUGACGGUAACUACCCAGAAAGGGACGGCUAACUACGUG